CCACGCCGUAAACGAUGAGCACUAGGUGUCGGGUGAAAGCUCGGUGCCGGCGUUAACACAAUAAGUGCUCCGCCUGGGGAGUACGUUCGCAAGAAUAAAACUCAAAGGAAUUGACGGGGACCCGCACAAGUAGCGGAGCAUGUGGUUUAAUUCGAAGCAACGCGAAGAACCUUACCUAAGCUUGACAUACCUUUGCAAGGAAAGAUAAAAAAUUCCCCUGUACUUGUACACAAAGGAUACAGGUGGUGCAUGGUUGU
rnacentral:rRNA from 1 species